rnacentral:rRNA from 1 species
AAUUUUAGACAAUGGGCGCAAGGCUGAUCCAGCCAUGCCGCGGGAGUGAAGUAGGCCUUCGGUUUNGAAAACUCUCUCGGACGGAANGAAAUCGUGCAGUCGAAUACCCUGCGCGGAUGACGGUACCGUCAUAAGAAGCACCGGCUAACUACGUGCCAGCAGUCGCGGUAAUACGUAGGGUGCGAGCGUUAAUCGGAAUUACUGGGCGUAAAGCGUGCGCAGGCGGUUGAUUAAGACAGGCGUGAAAGCCCCGGGCUUUACCUAGGAACUGCGCUUGUGACUGGUCAACUAGAGUACGGCAGAGGGGGGUGGAAUUCAACGUGUAGCAGUGAAAUGCGUAGAGAUGUGGAGGAACACCGAUGGCGAAGGCAGCCCCCUGUGACGAUACUGACGCUCAUGCACGAAAGCGUGGGUAGCAAACAGG